rnacentral:sRNA from 1 species
UGUUUGCACUUAGCGGGAAGGGUAAGAACCUUCGACUAAGGUUCGACUCGAGCGCCAGCGAGAGAACGUUGCCGCAGGCAACGGCCCGAAGGGCGAGGCGUAGCCGAGUCAUCCUCCCGGAUGCACCA